rnacentral:tRNA from 1 species
GGAAAUGUGCCUGAACCAAAAGGAUUACUUUGAUAGAGUAAAACAUAGGGAUUAAUUCCCCUCAUUUCCU